UCUCCGUUGGUGAACCAGCGGAGGGAUCAUUACUGAGUUACCGCUCUAUAACCCUUUGUGAACAUACCUUAACUGUUGCUUCGGCGGGUAGGAGUCCCCUAAAAAGGACGCCUCCCGGCCCUCCCGUCCGCGGGUGGGGCGCCCGCCGGAGGAUAACCAAACUCUGAUUUAACGACGUUUCUUCUGAGUGGUACAAGCAAAUAAUCAAAACUUUUAACAACGGAUCUCUUGGUUCUGGCAUCGAUGAAGAACGCAGC
rnacentral:misc_RNA from 1 species